rnacentral:ncRNA from 1 species
UAAGGAAUUAUUUGAUCAAAUUAGGGGAAAGGCUAUUAAGUGAAAAUAGAUGUAAAAUUUUAAAUAGGGGUUUCGUUUAAAAAAUAGUCGGGUGGUAUUUUCAGUGUAGAGAAUUAAAGAAGCUAUGGGGGGUAGUUUUAGUCAAUUUAGAUUACAUUGGGGAGAAUAAAAAUGUGCCAGCAUUCGCGGUUACACAUUAUCCUAGAAUUUUUUAUAUUAAAGGGGAGAAUAGGGCAUUUUAAAUUUAAUUAUUUUAAUGGGGGUGAAAUAAAUUAAAAUUAAUAAUUUGCUUGAUUUCUUUGAAAUUUUGAGUAUAAACUAGGAUUAGAUACCCUAUUAUUCAAAAAUAAAAUUUUACUUUUUAGUAUUUUAGUGACAUAAUAAAUUAAAUUGAUUUGGCGGUUUAUUAAACUUUUUAGAGGAACCUGUAAAUUAAAUUGAUGAACCACGAUUAAUUUUACCUUAAUUUUCUUGUAUAUCUCUAUAAUUGAAUAUAUUUUGAGAUUAAUUUUCUUUUUUUUGUAAUCCAAAUUUUAAUUUAGGUCAAGGUGCAGGUAUAUUUAGGAUUUAAUGGGUUACAUUUAUUGAAGUUAAUGGUUAAAUUUACGUUUAAUUAAUUUAAUAAAAUUGGAUUUAAAAGUAAAUUUUUUUUUUAAAAUUAUUGAAUAAUGCUCUGAUUUAUGUACAUAUCGCCCGUCAUUCUCAUUACUUGAGACAAGUCGUAACAAAGUAGAUGUAUUGGAAAAUGUAUCUAG